rnacentral:rRNA from 1 species
UACGUAGGCAGCAAGCGUUGUUCGGAAUUAUUGGGCGUAAAGAGCUCGUAGGCGGUUUGUUGCGUCGGCUGUGAAAUCCCGAGGCUCAACCUCGGGUCUGCAGUCGAUACGAGCAAACUAGAGUGUUGCAGGGGAGACUGGAAUUCCUGGUGUAGCGGUGAAAUGCGCAGAUAUCAGGAGGAACACCGGUGGCGAAGGCGGUUCUCUGGGCAUGUCCUGACGCUGAGGAGCGAAAGUGUGGGGAGCGAACAGG